GUUUUUUGUCAAAGAUUGAGACAGAAGGUGAUGGAUGAAAUGAAAGAGAGGGCAAACUAGAAAUUUUUCCAAUUUUUUUUUACUAGUAAUCAAUUGCCAUCCUACAAGCAUGAGUGAACGUGUGCACAAAUGUAUUUUUUUCCUUUGGUCAUCAGCUUCACUGCUUAAGAUACCUUUUUCCCAGAAAUGAUUUUGUUAUGUGCCCUUGGCCAAAUUAGAGCGAAGAUUUUGAUUUUGUUGCAUAUUUUACAAAAAUUUUACUUUGUUGGAUAUGUUAGGGGCAGAAGUGAAAAAGUGGCUUUGAACUUCAUUUUUGUGUCAUUGCUUGAUGUGCCUCCGAAUGUAAUUCUUUUUUCACAGGCUGUUUGCACGGAGGCAGGAA
rnacentral:misc_RNA from 1 species